CCCUGUCUCUAGGUACGUGUCUCGUUAUCACGCGAAGGACUCUGCGCGCCACGUGGUCCUGGGCACUCAGCAGUUCCAGCCCACUGAGUUUGCCAGCCAGAUCAACUUGAGCAUGGAGAACGCCUGGGGUAUCCUACGCUGUGUCAUCGACAUCUGCCGCAAGCUGGAGGAGGGCAAGUACCUCAUCCUCAAGGACCCCAACAAGCAAGUGAUUCGCGUGUAUAGCUUGCCUGACGGAACCUUCAGCUCAGAUGAAGAUGAGGAAGAAGAUGAUGAUGACGAUGAAGAGGAUGAGGAGGAGGAAGAUGAACAAGAACCCUAAGGUGUGGCAAUUGCACUAGUUACCAGGUGGCCUGCAUCACACAGAAAAUCUUCCUCGUUACAUUCAAAUAAAGAUCUGAGAUACUG